AACGAACGCUGGCGGCAUGCCUAACACAUGCAAGUCGAACGAGACCUUCGGGUCUAGUGGCGCACGGGUGCGUAACGCGUGGGAACCUGCCCUUAGGUUCGGAAUAACUCCCCGAAAGGGGUGCUAAUACCGGAUAAUGUCUUCGGACCAAAGAUUUAUCGCCUUUGGAUGGGCCCGCGUUGGAUUAGCUAGUUGGUAGGGUAAAAGCCUACCAAGGCGACGAUCCAUAGCUGGUCUGAGAGGAUGAUCAGCCACACUGGGACUGAGACACGGCCCAGACUCCUACGGGAGGCAGCAGUGGGGAAUAUUGGACAAUGGGCGAAAGCCUGAUCCAGCAAUGCCGCGUGAGUGAUGAAGACCUUAGGGUUGUAAAGCUCUUUUACCCGGGAUGAUAAUAACAGUACCGGGAGAAUAAGCUCCGGCUAACUCCGUG
rnacentral:rRNA from 1 species